CCCUCCUUUUUUCUGGUUUUUUUUUCGGUCUUCUUCUUCUUCGUUUCUUCCCUCUGUUUUCUUCGUUCGGUGCUGCGCGGGCUGUGCAGCAGGAAAUUGCAAAGCUGAGGGCUGCUGGGCUGCGUUGGCUGGUGGGAUGGCAGAAGCGUGUGCUGCUUGGCGCGCGGGCUGCAGGUGGUGGGUUGCUGGGCGCGCUGGCUGCAGGGCGAAGGGAGUGCGCGGCUGCUUGCGGUAGGAGGCUGGGGCGUGCGCGGCUGCAGGUAAAAGAAAGCGGCCUGGGCAGUGCGGGCUGUGCAGGGAGGCUGGCUGAAGGUUGGGCUGCAGGAGGCUGCGUUGCGGCAGGGAGGUUGCAGCGGGCUGGUGAGGAUGAGGAGGCUGGGCUGGUGUGCAGGCAGCAGCACGGGCUGCGUAGGUGUGCAGGGCGAGCUGCGGGGGGCUGAGGCAGCAGGGGUUGCAGGAGGUGUGCGGCAGAUUUUGUGAGAGAUAAACUGUUUUUUUUUUCGCCUAGGGUUAGAACUCGUGCUGAUAACGUGUUGUAGGAGAAUAGAAUUGUGUGUUAUCAUUGAUAAUAGGAGCCCUUUAAAUAGGGAGUUACAAGGUACCCAAAAGAUUGGGGUGCAAAUGUAAUUGUGAACAGAAUCUUUAAAUGUUGACUUCUGGUUUCAUUUUACCUUCAGCAUCAUCUGCUCCAUUCUCUGAUGCACUACUGGCAACUACUUGAUUAUCUAUCUUUUCAUCCAUGACGUCGUUUCUGUAUGCUUUGGGACAUAAACAAGAGUAAUCUCCCGGAGGUGAAUUUACACAUUUUCCAAUCUUGCAUGGGUUUGAAUCCAUGCAGUCAUCAAUAUCUGAAAAGAAAGGAAAGAUUAACAAGCCACAGAGUAGGUGAAAUCACAGUUUUGCUACUCCCCCUCUAGAAAUUAAUUAACAUGAUGUAUGUUGAUGCUGAGACCAUACAAGCUAUAUACUUAUAUAUUACCUUGGCAACCAUCUGGAAGGUAUGGAUUGCCUUCGUAGCCUGGUAAACAUUCACAAACAUAACCAUUCCUGUUGUUGUGGUUGACAUACUUGCUAUUUUUGUUGCAUGCGAAGUCCUCCCUCUUUUCAGCUGCAUCACAUGGGUCUGGUUCAUUCCCAAUUGCCCAGUUAAGAACCAUCGGCAGUUGCUUAGUGAUGUUCAGUUCUUGAAAACUUGUAUUAGAGAAACUAAACUGGCCUUCUUGCACAAUGAAUGCGUAGCUGCAGGGGUUGAAGCUCCAUAUAUCAGAGUGAUUAUAAUAGCUACUCAAAGUGACAGUACGGUUUGUUAUUCCACUAGGGAUGGAGGUUUGGCAACAUCCAAUGCCAGAGCAAGACCCAUCGACGCUGCCAAGGCUGUUACACAAGGACAUGCACCCGGUUAUGUAUCUUUCUUCCCCCUGGUAUCCUGUAAAGAGUGCAUAAGUGUCGCAUCCAACUGCGAUGAACUUGUUUUUGGUAUCGGAUAUGGUGUAAGGCAGAACCAGCGAUAACUCAGGGCUGUUGUGGUAGGUUCUUUCGCCUUGCUGGUCAUAACAAUCUCGGGCGGUGUAACUGUUUAUUUGCAACUCACCCUCUGCAAGCCAGAAGUUUGCGAUGCGGAUAUUAGUGCCUGUCCAGUUUGCUGAUGGGGGUUGGGUUGAUUGGUCACAAGUGAUUUGAAAUUCUUGUCGAAGGUAACAACCUUCACCUAUGCCAAAUGGGUAUGGAAUUACGAGAUCACCGCAGCAGUCAGUGCAGCCAGGCAGAGCUUGAGGCAGGAGAGCUUGAUCAGCUGCUGCUAAUACGACCAGUAGUACUCCCAUCAAUGAGAGUUGCAUAAUGAACAUCACAUGCAAGGCCAUGGCACCACUACUCGAUUCCAUCUACAAAAGUAGUAUACACUUAUAUGUAGUGUUCAAGUAAAGAAACUCGAAUGUUACUUGAACACUUUCUGAGUUCUUGGAUUUGGUACAGCAAGCUUCACAGGGUCCAAACGGGAAUUGGCUCCAUGUAAAAUAUUCAAUGAAAUAAAACAUCCCACUUGGAACUUGGUAAUAGUCCAUAAGCGACGGGGUGUACAAAGUUGAGCAGACAAGCUAGACAGUACUUAUGCCAAGCAAGGUUGCCGACUGAGAGACUCUUGAUUUUUUAAUUUGGUUCUGUUUGAGAAGAGACUUGGUCGUUUCUUUUGUGUCAUCACCUGGUAAAAAGAAAACAGAGAAAGGGUGAAAAGGAUGCCACUCAUAUUGUUUAAAACUUACAAAGGAAACAACUUUAUUUGUGAGUUUUGCUUCCAUUAUGUGUUCCUCAUUCGACUAGCAACUACUUGAUAUCUGUAAGUCCUUCACUACAUUCGGUGAUAUUCAUUAUGACAAGACUGAUAAACUAUGUUGAGUCACAUGUUGAGUCAAUCAUUUGGCUCGUCUGAAUUUGUCUAACUCUUUAACCAUUUCAUGAGCAUUUGAUCAU